rnacentral:sRNA from 1 species
CACCAAUGCACAUUGAAAAAAAAAAAAAAAAAAAACAAAGCCCCCAAACUCAAGGCCACAACUGCUCCUUUUUUUGACUUUUCAAAAAUUAUUUACUUAUGUCUAUGAGUCCUCUGUCAUUUACAUAUAGUCCUGCAUGCCAGGAGAGGGAAUCAAAUCAAAUAGAUGUUGUGAGCCACCAUGUGGGUGCUGGGAAUUGAACUCAGGACCUCUGGAAGAACAGCCAGCACUUUUAACCACUGAGUCAUCUCUCUAGGCCCUUUUCUGACUUUAACAUUAGCAUUUCCUGACCAAGAGAAUGCAGAAAAACAUUGUGGAGUUCAGAAGCUACAAGUCUAACCCACUGUGGGUCUAUGCUCCAGUUAUCUGUGAGUGGCUGGAUUGGUACAAAAACAAACAAACAAACAAACAAACCAACCUGUCAUACAUUAGAAUAAUUUGGAGGAUCUCUCUGAAUUUGAGGAAUAUAUAUAUAUAUAAUUUUUCCCCCUACAAAGUUGCAGCCUUUGAUUUUAGACACUGGAUUUGAAUUCUGGCUCUCUGGCUUUAUCCCAGUCAGUCUUCCCCGUUAUUUUGUGUUCUUGGGUGAACCACAAAGACAAAACAGUCCACAGAAAUUCACACAGUGGAAAGUGGGCUUAGGACAGAAACUUCACCCAUACUGAAAGUCGGGAUUCUGUACACCAGGUUAAAGCUCCUCUUAGGCUCUCUUCAAGAGUCAAAGCUAAGUUUUAAGUUUUAAUUACUGAACCUAAGAGAUCCAUAAGACAAAAUGUCUGUAGCCUGGAACCCCCUGGCCCAAGGACACAUAUUUCCUGAAAUACUGGAGGUCAUGGUUUAAGGCAGAUUCCCACCCAAGCGUUUUCACCUCCCUAAACAAGUUUGACCCAACCGCACUUGAUCACUCUAGCUUGGAGGUACGAGUGGGCAGGAAGAAUACUUGCUCCUGAUUGGAUGUAGGUGGGAGGUACACUUACACUUGCCCCUCAUUGGAGCUGAGGGGAAAUAUAGAGGUCUUACAGUUUAACCUUUUUAAGCCUCUGCAAAAUGUGACUCCAGGCCAUUUCCCCGGGAAUCCUGGAAGGGUCUGGGCCAGGUCCAUUAUUUAACUAAAGCUUGCUUCAAAUUUGUCUUAAAAAUUGUGAAACUGGCCUUUCUCUCUCAACUCUCAGGCUUAACAACUCUUGCUUACAUUAUUAAUUUACAAAACUUCAGGACAGCCAGGCUCAGACAGGUCUGGAGAAACGUGGCUAGUACCCUGGCAGUACAGUUAACAAGGCUGCUGCCCUGGUGGCUGACGUCACUCAUAACACCCCUCCCUCCACCCUGGCGUGGGGAGGGGAAGCACCAGCAAGUAGAGAGAAGCAGCCCUAGCCAUGGAAAAGUGUCGUGAAAUGAUGUCUCAGGCUUAGCGAUCAGUCCCAACAGGAUUUGCCACUGCCCAAUGCCAGAUUCCCUGCUGAGCAAGCAGAGCUCUAUCUAAAAGAAUGGUAAUGGAAGGGCCGUGUCACCGGGUGGAGGCAAGGGCUUUGGCUUAGAAUACUGGUUCAAACUCACAGGGGUAGCUGGUUGUGCCACCACUCGGAGGGAGAACAAGAGAUGUUACCCAAUAUCUUGGAGUCUCAGUUUCUUCCUUGAGAGGAGGAUUGACCAAACAAACUACUUUCCAAUGGGUGUGUUCAAUGGAGAUGUUCUUGGGAACUGGAAGGAUGCCAUUUUCCUAAGACAGGAUUGCAUUUGGAUUCUUUUUUUUAAAGGAGAAAAUAUAAGAACAAACAAUGCAGACCUGGUGUCCAUACAGGUAAGCUGAGGGACUCUUCCUGUGCUCUCAGAUAUGGUGGCCCGUGUAUGACUACCCACACAGAGUCAGGACACCAGGUUAGUGAGCCAAGAGCCAGCUUACUUUUCAAGAGACCAGGGGUGGGUGGGUGCGUUGAGUGGGGACUUCUAAAAAGUUCCUCUUUCUCUCUAUCCUACUCAAAACCAAGGACUGCACAUCCCUUUAAGGCAGCAGAAGACUUGUGUGACGGCCUGUAACUGAACCAGUGGGAAGAGGAGGAAUUUUGAGAGAUGACAGAUACCAUGCAUUGAGGACGUAGAACCUGAAGCCUUCAGGACGGGCUGCGAUUGAUUACAGGAAUGAGCUGACUUCCUGGUUCAGGGACCGCCCAGCUGGUAAAGGAAAUGCAGAUUCUGGCCAUGUGCUGAUGGCCACCAGGAAGACUGCUGUUCAGAGCGUGUAACAGACACUCAUUCAUGCUAGAAGAAAUCCCAGCUGCCCACUCUUUUGGGAAUGAGAGGUUCGAGCCACAAACUGCACAAUGGAAGCAUGACUUGGGAGUCUUACUGAAUUCUCCUCCAGUGGCCAGGAAGAACAGCCUUUGCUAAUUACCUAGAGGAGUUCACAGGCCUCCGGAGACACGGACACAUACACCAUGAGAGGCAUGACACGCACGUAAGCACAUCCUGUGAUCAGCAUCACCACCUUUUGGCCCACAGCAGUGUUCAGACCUGUCGGCACCUGAAACCUUCCCUCCAAGUGUUACUGGCUUCCUGAGCCAACUGCAAGAUCAGACUGAUUUUGGCAAAAGCGAAGCGUUUGGGGGAGGUUCCCCAUUCUUUCAUCUGACCUGUAGAGCCACUUCUUGGCAGCAUCUACCCCCUUCCCACAGCAGGGCCUCCCGACCGUGGCUGUCCCCUGGCAGGGUGUGCGCUCCCUUCAGGUGGCUGUCACCCUUUCUGGGCUCAGGCACCUCCACCAGCUGCUCCAGCUGUGUUUGCCCUGUGUAUACUGGGAAGGUUUUAUGGGCCUAUUACACCCUAGGCCAUCCUUGACCCUGGAUCUAAGACUGUUCUUUCAUUCCAAAUGACAACAGUGCCUAGGUUUUCCCUGACAAGAAACAAACCGAACCCUGGUUCAAACAACACAAAACUAUCUUCCAAGUCGACAGCAGGUGGACCAAUGAGAAGACGGCUGUGACAGCUGGAAGGAGCACUCGCUGUUCUCAUGAGCUCUCAGGCUGCUCACCUGUGAACAGCUGGACACUCGAGGUAAGUUUCCCACGCGCCGACAGGCACUACAAUGUCUGCACUUAGCUCUGCAGAAUGAACCCAUGAAUAGACGCCCUUCUCCUAGGGAUUUAAACCAUGUUUUAUAUUUAAAUCUUGCAAUGUUGAACAGCAUCCUUGUCUUAUUUCUAUUGCUGCCCUGACCAAAAGCAACACUGAGGAGAAGAGGUCUAAUAAGACUCAGAACUCCAGUUUACAGUCCAUUGUGGGGGAAGCCAAGACAGGAACCUGAGGCAUCAUGGACCCAUAACAAAUUCAAGCAUCAGUUUUUAUCUACAAAAUGUGACAGUAAUACACACACACACACACACACACACACACACACACACACACAGAGAGAGAGAGAGAGAGAGAGAGAAACAAGUGUGCAUGGAGAUGCUGAGGUGAGAGUAAGUCAGAACUGGAGUUGGGGAGUAUCUCAGUGGUACCAGGUGAGCAUGCAGGGAGCCUCGGGCUCCACCCCCACUGCUGCAAACUAGAAUUAAAGAAAAUAGCUGGACAGCAAACAGUGAAAAGGAUUCUCAGUAAAUGCCCCCUGUUUUAAAUUUAGCUAUUGGAGUUAACCUUUAGAUACUGCAUUUAUCUAAAGGUUAUAUAAAAGCACAUUCUUUGGUUUAGAUAAAGCUCAGUAAAAUUCCGGGAUGUUAGUCUCAUUCUAUUAACCAAGACUCCAGUCUAGUACUGGGCCUGCUCAGGUUGGGGAACACAGAAAUCAGUCAUGGAUCUCUCUUAGGGAGUUACCACCUCAGGGGAAGCUAGUUCUACAACUGAAUCAGAGCCACGUGGGACAUACUCAUUGGGAAAGUGGUUCCUGACCUGCUGUGGCUGCAGCAGAGAAGGCGGCAGAAGCCUCCAGACCUGGAUGAGGAACAGAGCUGAAACCGACAAGAACUGCAGUGAAGCCCCUGCACCAUCUCCUGGCCUUUGAAGGCUCCAGAGCCCAGCCUUCCUACUGCGCAGUUAGUGGCUCUCCUGAAGAAUAGACAGAGUUGCCAAGAGUUACAGUCGCCCCACGCAAGGUCAGAAAAGGAGAAAAAAAAGAAUACUUAUCGGUGACAUUGGGAGUGUGAAGGUUUGCCAAUCCCGCAGAAGAUUCACUCCUUAGCAAUACAGCUGACAUUCUAAAAACAUCUUUCCAUUUUACACUGCAUUUUCUCCAGUGACACUUUUGAUUUUAUCAGUAGCACAGGAUGUUACGUACUAGAGACAAACUGCCCACCACCAAGCCACAGUA